rnacentral:tRNA from 1 species
GCUUGGGUGGCUCAGUUGGUUAAGCAUCUGAUUUUGGCUCAGGUCAUGAUCUCAUGGUUCGUGGGUUCAAGCCCCCGCGUCAGGCU